GACCUCAGUCCAGAAGGUCUCCUCUAUGUCCUCAGUCCAGAAGGUCUCCUCUAUGUCCUCAGUCCAGAAGGUCUCCUCUAUGUCCUCAGUCAGAAGGUCUCCUCUAUGUCCUCAGUCCAGAAGGUCUCCUCUGUCCUCAGUCCAGAAGGUCUCCUCUAUGUCCUCAGUCCAGAAGGUCUCAUCUAUGUCCUCAGUCCAGAAGGUCUCCUCUAUGUCCUCAGUCAGAAGGUCUCCUCUCCUCGGUCCAGAAGGUCUCCUCUAUGUCCUCAGUCCAGAAGGUCUCCUCUAUGUCCUCAGUCCAGAAGGUCUCCUCUAUGUCCUCAGUCAGAAGGUCUCCUCUGUCCUCAGUCAGAAGGUCUCCUCUGUCCUCCGUCCAGAAGGUCUCCUCUGUCCUCAGUCAGAAGGUCUCCUCUAUGUCCUCAGUCCAGAAGGUCUCCUCUAUGUCCUCAGUCAGAAGGUCUCCUCUGUCCUCAGUCAGAAGGUCUCCUCUAUGUCCUCAGUCAGAAGGUCUCCUCUCAGUCCCCAGUCCAGAGACGGGCUCGACGCUAAGCGCAGCGUAAGCUACGUUUAGCUUGGGGAUUAGCCGCGGCGGCCGGGGGAACCGGCCCGUACCGGAACCCGGCGGCUGGGAGAACCUCCGACCCAGAGACAGCGGGCGGAGUGUCAGAACACGGCUGGUUGUGACUUCCCGAUUUGAGGCCCGUCUUGAUUGGCCGCCCGACUGUUGACCCAGCAUGCCGAGCGGUGAUGCUGGCGGCCGUAGCCUUGGCGUUCCUCGGCUAUCUCACAGUAAACACACGCUGUUUGGGAACGCCUCCCUCCGUACCCGAGCACAGGCCUGGGAAGAGUUGAACUCAGGACAUUAUACACACACUCACACACACACGUACACACACACACUCACACUCACUCACACUCACACCCACCCACACACACACACACACACACACACACACACACACACACACACACACAUACACACACCUCCCUCUAGCCUCUCUUUCUUGUCACUAUUUUGAAGUUUGUGUCUCCUCUCUCUCUCUCUCUCUCUCUCUCUCUCUCUCUCUCUCUCUCUCUCUCUCUCUCUCUCUCUCUCUCUCUCUCUCUCUCUUUCUCUGUCUCUCUCUCUCUCUCUGUCUCUCUCUCUCUCUCUCUUCUCUCUCUCUCUCUCUCUAUCUGUCUCUCUCUCUCUCUCUCUAUCUGUCUCUCUCUCUCUCUCUCUCUCUCUCUGUCUCUCUCUCUCUCUCUGUCUCUCUCUCUCUCUCUCUCUCUCUCUCUCUCUCUCUCUCUCUCUCUCUCUCUCUCUCUCUCUCUCUCUCUCUCUCUCUCUCUCUCUCAUGUUGAUUGUUGCAGUUCCUCCAGGAGUGUCGGUAGUUUGAUAAAGGUGCGGUCUGGCCACCUCUCCUUGAUAACGACCUUGAUAACAACUCUGUCCCGCCCCCAACUGGGAGGGGCUCAGAUUCCAUGAAGUGGGAAUAGAGUGGCGAAGUCCCGCCCCUUCCGGUAGAGCCAUUUGGACCUCUGAGAUAGUAAAAUAUGAAUGGGUUUCAAUGGAGAGAAAUUAAUUAUUUUCUGGUCCCAGUCUUUAUAUGCCCUGGAUUACACAUAUGUCGUUUGUGGAUUUAAAUGAUAAGUUUUCAUGCAAAGGAAACUAAAAAAUUUCACGAAGAAGUUUGAUAGUGUUAGGUUUUGUGUGAGGCCGCUUUGUGAACUACAGCUCGUCGCAGCUCUCAACGAGAAUGAUAUACGUCACCACCACUCUGGUACAGGCAUGGUGAUCUCUCUGCUCCACUUCACCAGUUUUUUCCAAGGGGAUGAUAAAAGCAUCAAAAUAGGUGAAAAAUAUUAUAAGUUGGGGCAUGUUGAGAGUUUCCGUUAUGCCGAUGGGGAGAUUGUCGGUCUUGUCCACGCCAGUCGCAGGGAGCGUGACGUCACGUACGAGACAUGUAGUCUUUCUCAUUGGGUUUUCUCUACAGCCUUUAACUGAACAAUUGCACAAUAAACGGUCAAACUCUUGCCGUGAAAAAUGUAAAGUGCUUUACAGGAACAAACAUGAUUCAAAUGACUCAACGUUGUUACACAACUGAGGACAACUCUUCUGACCUCUCACUGAUGUCAGUCCUGAGUCAGACGGCCCCGCCCGCCUUCUCUGAUACCGCAAGGUGACCACCCCCCGCUGGCUAAGCCCCUCCUUCUCACCUGUCACCUUCUGGCAGUGGGCCGGCCACACCCUCGUCCAGACGCUAGAUAAGAGCUGGGCGUGAGUCACGUUGCUCAGACUGAUGACGUGUGCCCUCUUACAGAGGGGAGAACGGGUCCAUCAUGUAGAGCUGCAGCACACAGAACUUGAUCUAGAUCUAGAAGACCUAGUUCCUCAACCCCAGGGCAAAAACAACCAUCAACUGCCAUCAGGCGGUACUCAGAGAUAAUGGAUUUAAAUACCACAAAGGAUAAGUAGAAAAUAAUACAAAGAUCAAGAAUAAAUAAAAUAGAAGACAAAAUAAACACGAUGAAAUGAACCAUAGAGAGCCUGGAGCCUGAAGCCUGAAGCCGGCCUGACUGGGUUUCAGACGGUUGAAUCCAUUCCGUCCUUAGAUGGAGAGAUAUGAGACCCACCAACAGGGAGUGUAAACAGAACCACGGGCUUGUAGGGUUACCAGGACUGCAGGACGAGUCCUCUCUCUGUUCAGAGAGAGAGAGUACUCCUCUCUC
rnacentral:lncRNA from 1 species